UACGUAGGUGGCGAGCGUUGUCCGGAUUUACUGGGCGUAAAGAGCGCGCAGGCGGCUGGUCAAGUCCGAUGUGAAAGCCCCCGGCUCAACUGGGGAGGGUCACGCGAUACUGUUCGACUCGAAGGCAGGAGAGGGAAGUGGAAUUCCCGGUGUAGUGGUGAAAUGCGUAGAUAUCGGGAGGAACACCAGUGGCGAAGGCGACUUCCUGGCCUGUUCUUGACGCUGAGGCGCGAAAGCUAGGGUAGCAAACGGG
rnacentral:rRNA from 1 species